GAUGAACGCUGGCGGCGUGCCUAAUACAUGCAAGUCGAGCGAACAGACGAGGAGCUUGCUCCUCUGACGUUAGCGGCGGACGGGUGAGUAACACGUGGAUAACCUACCUAUAAGACUGGGAUAACUUCGGGAAACCGGAGCUAAUACCGGAUAAUAUAUUGAACCGCAUGGUUCAAUAGUGAAAGACGGUUUUGCUGUCACUUAUAGAUGGAUCCGCGCCGCAUUAGCUAGUUGGUAAGGUAACGGCUUACCAAGGCAACGAUGCGUAGCCGACCUGAGAGGGUGAUCGGCCACACUGGAACUGAGACACGGUCCAGGCUCCUACGGGAGGCAGCAGUAGGGAAUCUUCCGCAAUGGGCGAAAGCCUGACGGAGCAACGCCGCGUGAGUGAUGAAGGUCUUCGGAUCGUAAAACUCUGUUAUUAGGGAAGAACAAAUGUGUAGGUAACUAUGCACGUCUUGACGGUACCUAAUCAGAAAGCCACGGCUAACUACGUG
rnacentral:rRNA from 1 species